rnacentral:lncRNA from 1 species
UUAACAAUCAACGUUACUCUUCGCGUUUGGUGAACGCAUACGUAUUAAUUUUUUUUCGAUAAUGUUAGAUGCGCGAACGAAAUAGGUUUUCGAAGAUCGAGUUACUUCACUAACAUGAUUUACAAUCAGAAGCGGACUCUGAGAAAAAUGACCCACGACAUUAUAGAAUAACCGACACGGAUGAACAAACAAUUGAAGUGCGAGACUGUACUCAUAAUAUCUACGGUUACCUUUGGAAUCUAUUCAUUUUUUUUUUCAGAAAAAUUUUGUAUUGUUAUUUUGUCAAUGUAUCAUUCUACGGUCUUAAUUGUUGCGAGUUCUCUCAAAAAUCCACCAGCAACGAGAGACGAUGUGUGAAUGAGCUGCGUGGCGUCCAUGAUCAUCUGCGCAACAGGAUAGCAGUUCGUGAUCGACUGAUGACAACACAUAAAUCGGGAGAUUAGGUUAAACCUAUGACACCGAAAUACAUAUUAAAUACGUUUUUCGUUGGACGGGAAGGUAUGCUCGAAUAUAGAUUUCCACCUUCCCCUCGGAAGUUGAAAAAGACGAUUUUCUCUUAUAAACUGUUACACAGUAAAUAGUAAUUAUUUCUGAUAACCUUUCAGCUGUAUAAAAUUCCAAAUGUCUAAUAUAAUAAAAACAUUUAUAGCUAUAAUUUGGAAUCAAAAAACCAUUAGACUUUUUGAUUGAGUAGUGUACAUCAAUAUAAUGUUAAAUUUUUAUUCAGAUCAUUUUUUCCACAUAGGAUUUGAACGAUAAAAUAUUACGAUUAUCGAAAAUUAAAUCCAUAAACAAUUUCCAUACAUUAUAUAAAUCAUAGAAGAUGUUCUUGUAACCAGAAAUUAUAGACUAGCUGUCAUAAUUGUUGUUAAGGAAUUGAAAAAAUUAAAUUCAUGUAAUUAAUGUAAAUAAUGUAAA